rnacentral:rRNA from 1 species
AACGAACGCUGGCGGCAUGCCUAACACAUGCAAGUCGAACGAGACCUUCGGGUCUAGUGGCGCACGGGUGCGUAACGCGUGGGAACCUGCCCUUAGGUUCGGAAUAACUCCCCGAAAGGGGUGCUAAUACCGGAUAAUGUCUUCGGACCAAAGAUUUAUCGCCUUUGGAUGGGCCCGCGUUGGAUUAGCUAGUUGGUAGGGUAAAAGCCUAUCAAGGCGACGAUCCAUAGCUAGUCUGAGAGGAUGAUCAGCCACACUGGGACUGAGACACGGCCCAGACUCCUACGGGAGGCAGCAGUGGGGAAUAUUGGACAAUGGGCGAAAGCCUGAUCCAGCAAUGCCGCGUGAGUGAUGAAGGCCUUAGGGUUGUAAAGCUCUUUUACCCGGGAUGAUAAUGACAGUACCGGGAGAAUAAGCUCCGGCUAACUCCGUG